rnacentral:lncRNA from 1 species
GCAGCAUAUACACCACUGGCCAACAACUCUAAACAAGAACCAUACAAAACAUUUAUCAAUCAAGAAAGUGAAAGAAAAAAAGGAAAAAUAUACCAAUACAGGUAAAGAUAAGGUAGUUACUGGUUGUGGGGCGUUUUGACACUUGUUCUUGAUGCUGAUUUCUUGGAAUUUUCCAAAGGCAGGGACAGUGAUUUGAUAGAAGCAGAGGAUAAGAGUGCAUUAGAAGGUGAAAAGGGGGUGUGAAAAACAGGGAGAUUUGUGCUGUUGGAGAUUGAUGUCUCCAAACUAAGAAGAUGGGUCAUCUUUGUUCACUAUGUUUGCUCAACGAGUUGACCAAAAACUCCCAACAAUAGUUGACUUGUCUGUAGAUAGGACAUGCUUAUACGACGUCAUAUUUGCCAUUUGCUAAAACCCUUCUUAAACCUAUGAGAUUUUGUAAUGUUGGGGUCUUGAUGGGGUUUUGUAAUACUGCUAAUGGACUUAGAGGAGAAAAUUUUUUGAUGUUUUUUGGUGUGACGUUGGGACUGCAAUGGUAGUGGUGAUGGCUCUAAUAGAAAAUGACAGCCUUGAGGCUGCAAUGAGUGGGGUAGGGUGGGAGUGGGGGUGGGGAAGGGCGGAAUGCUAGUAUGGUGGUGGUUGUGUUGCUUGGGGGAGGGGGGAUGAGGAGAGGGUGGAAGACUGGAAAAGGGUGGGGG